rnacentral:rRNA from 1 species
AUUGAACGCUGGCGGCAGGCUUAACACAUGCAAGUCGAGCGGGGUGAUGGUGCUUGCACUAUCACUUAGCGGCGGACGGGUGAGUAAUGCUUAGGAAUCUGCCUAUUAGUGGGGGACAACAUCUCGAAAGGGAUGCUAAUACCGCAUACGUCCUACGGGAGAAAGCAGGGGAUCACUUGUGACCUUGCGCUAAUAGAUGAGCCUAGGUCGGAUUAGCAAGUUGGUGGGGUAAAGGCCUACCAAGGCGACGAUCUGUAGCGGGUCUGAGAGGAUGAGCCGCAAGCAUGGGACUGAGACACGGCCGAGAGUCCUACGGGAGGCAGCAGUGGGGAAUAUUGGACAAUGGGGGGAACCCUGAUCCAGCCAUGCCGCGUGUGUGAAGAAGGCCUUAUGGUUGUAAAGCACUUUAAGCGAGGAGGAGGCUCUUUUGGUUAAUACCCAAGAUGAGUGGACGUUACUCGCAGAAUAAGCACCGGCUAACUCUGUGCCAGCCGCCGCAGUAA